UUUUUAUUUAUCUUUGGGAAUCUUGUGCUGUAAAUAAGAAAAAUAUUUAAAUGUUGGUUUUCAUGUGGUUGUUUGAAAAGUUGUAUAGCCAGAAGGGUUGCUUUGGUUACUCUCUUUCUCACUCAAUGCCACAGGUAGAUAAAUUCCAUUUCACUAAUAUUAUAUCUUUUUUUUGAAUUAUGAAAAACUGUCAUAUUUAUGUGUAAAAAAUACAGAUAGAUAAGGCAAAAAAAAAUAUAUUUUUGAUAUAUCUCAAUUAAUAGAUUUAACAAUCACAUACAAUGUAAUUGAUAUGAUUAUAGAAAAACAUUACACACUAAAAUCUGUUGUUAUUUAGUUAGAACGAAAAAUAAUUUAUUCUUUUUCUAUUUUAAAUAUAUUUAUGAUUAUGAUAGGUUAUUUACCAAUCGACGAUGUAAAUACAACCACAAUUAAUAAAGAAAGCCUUUUAAAUAUUUUGAGAAAUGUAUGUAAUAUGUCGCUUUAUAUUAUGGUUAUUAUUAUUGAUAUUAUUUGUUAUUAUAAUUUUUAUUUAGAAUGUAAUUAUUACUAUAUUAUAAACAUUGUAGGGUUUGUGUAAUAAUGAUGACAAUGGGGCCGUGAAGCACCAAUUAUCCAUUUCUCAUUUCUCAUUUCUCAUUUCUCAUCUACAUCUCUAUCCUUGAAUAACUUUUUCAAUUAACAUUCAUGUUUCUGUAUCUACUAGCGAAUAAAAACGUCUCCCUGUCCACAACAGGGAAUCGUAGAUUCUUCCUUAUUGAAAAUUAUAACAUUUAUGCUCUAAAUUUUUUUAAUGAAUAACAUAAGUUUAUAUGUUUUAUAACCAUAGUUUAAAUAUUACUCUUUAGAUUAACUACUUGACUAAAUUACAUUAUAAGCUAGCUCGGAUUUUUGCUAUCAUUGAGAUAUUUGAUUUUCAGACUGUCUACGAGUUGAAUGUAGUUAUUGCAUAUACGUCGCAUGUUUCGUUUGUUAAAAUGUUUCUUAUAUGAAUAUAUGAUUUUGUGUUUUGUUGGUUCUUGUGAGCCUUGAUUUAAAAAUAUUAUUUACACAUUGAAAACGAUUUUGGCGUAUGACUUUGGAAUUGAUUGAACACAAUUCAUUUUCCUUGAAAAGUCAACCCCAAACAUACUCACUGAUCUUUACAAAACUAAGACCCUUUUUGAUAAUUGUUGAUUGAAAAAGUACUGACUGGAAAAUGUCUAUCUGGGUAAGAAAUCCCGACUGAGUAAGAAAUCCUGUUGUUUGAUUAUACAUCUGACUGAAUGUGCUGAGUGAUGAAAAAUGAUCAUUUUACCCUUCUGUUAUAUAUAGUGAUGAAAAAUGACCAUUUCAUAGCUUAUAUAUAUACAAUUUGUGCUCUCUCUCAAGCAUUCAUCAAAGUCUACAUUCAUCCUUCAAGAUUUUCGAUUUUUAUCACCAAAGGGACAAUGUUUCACAGAGGUCAAAGCUCAAGUGGACACCAAGGAGAUUUUCUUUGGUUAAAUUUUCCUCGAAUUGAAUCGGCUUCAACAAUGUCAAGAUGGAAGAAGAAGUUGGCUGAGGUCAGAAAGAAGGAAAUUUAUGUGCCUAACAGGGUUGAUUGGGAUUGGUUGCAAAAUGUUCGGUAUGAAGAGGAGUUGGCCCCUUAUCUUUUGAAGGAAUUUACAUACGAGGGGGAGACAAUGAUUUGAGAUGGAUGUAGCCGGGUCUUUAGAAUUCAAGAACCGGUGUACCGGGAACUUUGUUGGGAGUUUUUCUCCACGGUGUCUUUCCGUGGAGGAGACGAUUGCUACCACCCGACGAGCUUCAGUUUUUGCCUUGGGGGCGAGUUCCAUUAGUGCUCCGUUAUUGAUCUUGCCUAUCGGUUGGGGAUUUACGACCGGCCAUUGGUCUCGACUGCUAUUUUUCGUGCCUUUUUGGAACACUCUCAUAAGGUGUUCCCCGAUGGUGUUACGAGUACGGGUUGGUGGAAUACAAUCGCUAACAAGUUAUACAUUCCGAAGUCGGCCCAAGAAGGAAGUAUUAGGUCACCCACGCACCGUCUCAUUCACCGUCUUAUCUCCACCACCAUCAACCAACGGAAGGACGACGACAAGGUUUCCAACCUUGACGUCUUUUACCUUUGGAGCAUUAUCACACCAGACACCUUUUUCAAUAUUCCGUGGUGUUUGGCUUCUUAUUUGUCGGAGGGUGCGGUCAAGGAUCGCAAAACCUCCAAAAUUAAUGGUGGCAUGUUCGUCACCCGGCUAGCCAACUCAUUUGGGUUGAUGACCCGUGGUGCAUGGAAUUUGAUGACGGUGAUUCCUACCCCUCCAUUUAAUCUCAUUCUUUUCCGGAGGGCCAAGAUUAUUAAGGAUUAUGGGGGUGGUCAUUAUGCUAUUCCGCAUGAUGAUCCGGUGGUUGGUCCCGAGGUGCCGGGAAGGAGGGUUCGGUCGAGGCGAGAGCGAGACGUGGAGGAGGAACUGCCGGUGAUUCCGGUAGAUAAUGAUGAAGUACCAAUGGAUUGGUAUAAUGUUGAGAUGAGGCGGUUGCAAGAUCAAAUGGCGCGGGGUAUCAACUUUAGCAAUGAAUCACAUAUCCGACUUUUUGACCAUUUCCAUAUUCCGCAUAUCGAUGGGGGUAAUUUCCCAUACAUUCCAUCUUAGGAUGAGGUGAUUAAUGCAAGGAGGAGUGGAGCUAGUGGAAGUGGAUCUACGCAUGAUCAUGAUGAUGAGGAGGAGGAUUACUUUUCUUUUAUUUAUGCUUUGUUGAACAAUUUUUAAUUUAUUUUGUUUUGUUUGGUGUGUUUGAAUUUUUAGACUUUUAUUUUUAUGCUUGAUGUCUAAUUUGCCUUGGUUACUUUCAGAUUUUGGAUUAGGAAUGCUUGCAUAAAAGGGUCUAGAUAUUGAGAGAGAAAGAAAAAUAAAGAGUGGAAAAGAGUCAAGAAAGGGCGGAGUUAGAGUUAAGGUGUUGAGUCCGGUCCUUAGGGACAUGAGUGAAUGAGUCUAGAAGUUUUGAAGAUUUGUCAAAAGCUGGAACAAAUGCGGAAUGUAAAUGUUUUCCACCCAGCGGUCUACUCGCUGAGUGCAUUUAACUGACUCAACGAGUCGCCUUGUAUUUUCGCAAUUUCGAAGCUGUCCGCGACUAUACUCGACGAGUUGCUUAUAUGACUCAACGAGUCACUCAUUUUUAUACCAAAAGGCUGCUGAUUCGAUGCUGUUGAAUAUACCACUUGACCAUUUGUUCUUCCAUAUCGAUUCUUGAAGACUUUACUCUAUUUUUCCUGCUUAUUUGGAGCUGCCCACAUGUGAUUUGAUGCCCAAGACGUGGAUGAGCUUUUUCCAUGUCUAAAAUCAAUUGAAGAAGGAGUUGAAGAAUGAAGAUGUCGACCUAGCAACUGCUACCCCAGGGGAGUUUCUUCCAAUUCCCUUUUUAUUUUGUUCUUUAUCAUGCAUAAUAUACAAUGAGGACAUUGCAUCAAUUAAGUGUGGGGUAGGGGGUUAAUGUCAUCUUAGUAAAUAUAGAGUCUUAAAAUAUAGGUUAAUUUUUAAAAUUUGCAUACCAAGAAAAUUACUUAGGGAUUAAUUUAGGAAAUUUUGGUAAAAAGUAAUUAGGAUUCAUAUUAGAGUUAUGUUGAUGAUUGCAUGAAGACCCAAAUGUUUAGUUGAGCCUAUAUACGUUCUAGUGCAUUUGUGGCUUCCUUAUUCCAGUAAAAUCAUGGGACAAAAACACGACCUCGCUCAGCCCGAAGGAUGCAAUAUGUUUAGCAUCGUGUACCAGAAAUGUAUCCAGGAAAAUUAUUAUCGUUAGCCAAUAAAGGUUGAGGUUGAGCGCCCCUACUUAAGCAUGUAGGGUUUUGAGUGAACAAAAAUGAGGUACAUGUUUAAAAAAAAGAGAGAGAGAAUUGCAAGAAAAGUUUGAGGAAUUUUGUAGCAAUUAAAGUGAAGAUCAAAAGAUCAAAAUUCCAAGAAAUUCAAAAAGUUGAAGAUACCAAAAAUUAAAUCAAAGAAGGUGAUGAAUUCAAAGCAAUCAAAGAUCAAAUGCCAAAGAAGUGAAGAAUUCAAAAGAGCUCCAUAGUGGUAUCAUAAAUUGUAAUUCUAGAUUAUGUAUACUUGGGUUGCUUAACUAAACAUACCUUGAGGAUAGGAGGUUUUCUGUGGAUGGAUUCGAAGGAAUGCAUAAAAUGAAUAUUGUUCGGGAUAAGUGGGCGAAUGUUUAUGAGGAUUGUGAGUAUUUGGAAUAUGGGGGGUAUUUAGGAAAAUUUUUAGACACAAAUGUAUGCGUUGCGGUCUUGGCAUAAUGGUUGGGUUAGAUUGGAGUUGUCAUAUGUGAUUCUAAUGUGCUAAAAUUCAGUUUUGCUUGGGGGCAAGCAAAAGUCAAGUGUUGGGUAUUUUGAUAUUUGCAUAUUUAGCAUUAUAAUAAGUAUAGAUUUUUAUUAUUUAUUAGCUAAUUUAUUGUAUUUCAUGGACAAAAGGUACUUAAAAGUGUUUGAAUUAUAUUUUCAGUCCAAAAGUGAAGCUCGGAAGAAAAAGGAAGCAGGAGAAGCGGUUGAGAGCUCGGGAAUUGAAUAAAGAAGAAAAACACCAAAAACAACACCUACUUGUCGAGUAGGGUCGACUACUCGGCGAGUCCGAGCGAAUAUUCGAGAAGAUAAAUACUCGGAGACCCAGAGACUUAUUGCAUACGGGGAUUGAGAGAUGGACUCGGCGAGUCAGCACCUAACUCGACGAGUCGUUUCGCAUAUAUAAAGAUAACUCCUCGGAUCGAAAAGGGGAGGGGGGGAAUUCGGGAACCCUUCUGGAGAGAUUAGCUGCGAUUGAAGAGCCAGAAGAACCUUGGAGAACGAAGAUACAACCUAGAAUCCAAUUUCGAAGGAGAUUUGAGGCAAAUUUUCAUCAUUCUACUUAAUCUUUUGUUUUCCAUUAUGGCUAGACAAUUAGAAUCUGUUUGUUUGCUGUUAUUUACCUCAAACAUGAGCUAAAACUCUUAAACUUCUGUUUGGGGAUACACAAUUGAGACUAUGGUUUGAUUAUUGGUAGGAUUAAUUCAA